UACGGGGGGGGCAAGCGUUGUCCGGAUUUAUUGGGCGUAAAGCGCUCGCAGGUGGUUCGUCGCGUCGUGCGUGAAAGACCCCGGCUCAACUGGGGAGGGUCGUGCGAUACGGGCGGACUGGAGGCCAGUAGGGGGAUGCGGAAUUCCGGGUGUAGUGGUGGAAUGCGUAGAGAUCCGGAGGAACACCAGCGGCGAAGGCGGCAUCCUGGACUGGUCCUGACACUCAGGAGCGAAAGCGUGGGGAGCGAUCCGG
rnacentral:rRNA from 1 species